rnacentral:tRNA from 1 species
CGGGGUGUGGCGCAGUUAGCUAGCGCACCUGGUUUGGGACCAGGUGGUCCUCCGUUCGAGUCGGAGUACCCCGA